GAUUUUUUUUCCUAGUCAAACUUAAUUAAGUUUGACCAAGUUUAUAGAAAAAUAUAACAACAUUUUCAACACAAAACAAACAUACUAUCAAAAUAUAUUUAAUUUUAGUUCUGAUGAAACUAAUUUGGUGCAGUAGAUGUUGUUAAAUUUUUCUAUAGACUUGGUCAAACUUAAGGAAGUUUGGCUAGAAAAAAAGUCAA
rnacentral:pre_miRNA from 1 species